GAAAGAAUAGUUCAGUUUUUGGCAAAAUGUUCACUUCAGCUUGAGAUGUUAAGAUUUGCGAAUUCUUUUCUCAAGAUGAAGGAACAAAGCAAAAAGGAGGCUAAUUUUUCCAUUUAGCCUUAAUGGUAUGUUUUUUAUGUUUUAGUGUUCUCUUCAUUUUUUUCUUAGCAUUUUACUAUAAUUUUCUGGUCACUUUACCCUAUUUACUAUUCUUGGAAAAAGUGGAGUAUGAAAUUUUGUGAAGAUACUGCAUUUCCUUUUGAUUUAGAGUCAG